GGGCGUAUAGCUCAGCUGGAUAGAGCAACAGCCUUCUAAGCUGUGGGUCGCAGGUUCGAAUCCUGCUACGCUCGCCA
rnacentral:tRNA from 2 species